rnacentral:rRNA from 1 species
AAUAUCUAAACGGGNNNNNNNNAUAUUGCUGUCNAAGGCACUGUGCACUUCUCCCUUAGUAAGACGCUGUGAUCCAUUAGAAAUUGAUCAUUCCAAUGAUUAUUUGGCUAUCAAUAGGCCGGCAUGAAGUUCACCUGUGCAAAUAACUCAGUCCAUAAAAUGGUUGGGUAUAUUGUACGGUGAGCAUGUCGUCACCUGUGUUAUAGCUGUCUGAUGGAUUUUAAAGGUCGCAUUACCGAUGCUCCGGCAUCGCUCAUACGUGAGAGUGAAUGUGUGCCCGAUCAACAGCGGUUAAAUUUGGGAUACCUUUUGGACCCGUCUUGAAACACGGACCAAGGAGUCUAUCUAGUAUGCAAGUAAAUGAGCAUAUGAAACUUAUUUGCAUAAAAAACUUGACUGUUUAUGGGACUACGAGUCGCAUUUCGGUGCGGCUCCUCCAUCCCGGGGUAUUUUCGUCAACAUAUGCAGCAAUGUAUAUGGAAAAUAUACCAUGAGCAUACUGGAUAUGACCCGAAAGAUGGUGAACUAUGCCUGAUCAGGUUGAAGUCAGGGGAAACCCUGAUGGAGGACCGAAGCAAUUCUGACGUGCAAAUCGAUUGUCAGAAUUGGGCAUAGGGGCGAAAGACCAAUCGAACCAUCUAGUAGC